rnacentral:rRNA from 1 species
AUUGAACGCUGGCGGCAUGCCUUACACAUGCAAGUCGAACGGCAGCACGGGAGCAAUCCUGGUGGCGAGUGGCGAACGGGUGAGUAAUAUAUCGGAACGUGCCCAGUCGUGGGGGAUAACACAGCGAAAGCUGUGCUAAUACCGCAUACGAUCUAUGGAUGAAAGCGGGGGAUCGCAAGACCUCGCGCGAUUGGAGCGGCCGAUAUCAGAUUAGCUAGUUGGUGGGGUAAAGGCCCACCAAGGCGACGAUCUGUAGCUGGUCUGAGAGGACGACCAGCCACACUUGAACUGAGACACGGUCCAGACUCCUACGGGAGGCAGCAGUGGGGAAUUUUGGACAAUGGGCGCAAGCCUGAUCCAGCAAUGCCGCGUGCAGGAUGAAGGCCUUCGGGUUGUAAACUGCUUUUGUACGGAACGAAACGGUCCUUUCUAAUACAGAGGGCUAAUGACGGUACCGUAAGAAUAAGCACCGGCUAACUACGUGCCAGCAGCCGCCGUAA